UCAAAGGAGAAGGCGAGUGCCAGCCCGAGGACGACGGCGGCGCUGCUCUUCUCCCCUCCCAUCACCCCUCGGCGUGGGCUUGGCCAGGAACCGCCGCAGCAGCAGCAGCAGCGUGCGUAAUCCCCCCUGCGGCAUCCUUUAUGGCCGCUGAUUAAUGGAGCUCAGUAAUUGGGUGGGGGAAGGAAAGGCCUCUCCGUUCCUCCCUUGAUGCAGGACAGCUUGCCCCACCAUCCCUCCUCUUCCGGCGGACUCACCCUCCCUCUACCGUGGCCGGC
rnacentral:lncRNA from 1 species